GCCCGGUUAGCUCAAUCGGUAGAGCGUGAGACUCUUAAUCUCAAGGUUGCGGGUAAGUCACGAAUUCCAAGCUUGCACGUUCAGUUCGGCAGCAUGUUAACAUCUCUUCCUAGGUUCGACCCCCGCAUCGGGCU